CGGGACGGGUGAGUAACACGUGGAUAACCUACCUAUAAGACUGGGAUAACUUCGGGAAACCGGAGCUAAUACCGGAUAAUAUUUUGAACCGCAUGGUUCAAAAGUGAAAGACGGUCUUGCUGUCACUUAUAGAUGGAUCCGCGCUGCAUUAGCUAGUUGGUAAGGUAACGGCUUACCAAGGCAACGAUACGUAGCCGACCUGAGAUGGUGAUCGGCCACACUGGAACUGAGACACGGUCCAG
rnacentral:rRNA from 1 species